GCACAAUCUUGUUAUUAGAGAAGCUGCUGGGGACUCCUGAACCUUUUGGCACUAAUGUUGUAUGUGCCUGUUUUUUUUAUAAAGGAAAACGAAAUGGAAGCUAUUAUCUGAAAUGAGCUUUCAUCGUAGCAGUGAGGCGGGGAGCAGCUCAAAUAUAUUAACACAAAAUGUGAGACAAAUAUUGCCUCCUCCAAGCCAGCUUCUGACCUCGACAGUGAGAGCUUUCCACUAAGCUGGCUGUUUACAGCCCCUGCUCCGGCAUCCAUCUUGGGGUUUGUGGGAUGUAGUUUCCAUUCCUGUUACUCCAUCUGAUCGGGCACGAGCAGCAUACAUUCCUCUGCCUUCAACCACAUCCCCAAGCUGUUUUUACAGUGAGCUGCCCUCAGCCUGCAUCAGGAUCACAUUACUGUCUCCAGUACCAGGAGAUGCACCUGCAUGCACACGCUCAAUUGCACAGAUGUGAGCAGCCUUGUGAGAAGUGCUCAGCAGCUGUUUUGGAGUGGGGCAGAGGAAGAGAGGAAGCCUGCAAGUCACAUCCUCCUGACUGCCUUCCCCUUCACUGAUGUGUUCAGUCAUGCCGCCCAAAAGAGCCAUUUGGGAGACUUGAGAAUGUAUGCAGCAAGUGCUCCUUUUCAUUUACGAUUAAGGUAAACAAGGGUGUCAGCUGAAGCAGA